AAUAGGAGGAUGACAAAUCAGAUUUUUCUUCUUGAUUUUCAGCUUUUUCUUCUUAAAAAAAUUCAAAUCCAACUAAAAAUACUAAAAUUAGGAGUAUAAAUUUGAUUUGUCAUUCUCUUAUU
rnacentral:pre_miRNA from 1 species